ensembl:miRNA
AUAGUGUUCUUCAGGGUUUUACUUGGGAGGCUGGAGUGGCCAGUAUUCCUAAACAAUUCUAAGUGCCUUGGCCCACAAUAUAC